GGGGAUGUAGCUCAGCUGGGAGAGCGUCUGGUUUGCAACCAGGAUGUCGUCGGUUCGAGUCCGAUCAUCUCCACCA
rnacentral:tRNA from 1 species